GCCGGGUGUAGUGGCGAGUGCCUGUAAUCCCAGCUACUUGGGAGGCUGAGGCAGGAGAAUUGCUUGAACCCAGGAGGCAGAGGUUGCAGUGAGCUGAGAUCGCGCCACUGCACUCCAGCCUGGGCGACAAAGCGAGACUCCGUCUCAU
rnacentral:SRP_RNA from 1 species